AGACUUAGGGAGCUGCCUCGAGGUGAUGAAUGACACCCCCUGGCACCAGCUACCCUUCUCAGACCCCAGUCCAGCCCGCUCCCGACGUCGACUACGAUUCCGCUACCUCGGCUGGCAGCGAGGUUGGGGUGAGCCCCAGCUGCAGGCGCGUCUGGGCUGCGCCGCUGCAAACGAGUUGCGCACCUUGGGCGGCUCCGCACCUGCACCCGCACCCGCGGGGCUCAGCCCCGAAGGCUGCAGCUUCGGGGGAGGCGCGGUCGCCGAGGUCCAGCUGGUGGGGCGAGAGACGUCGCCCCUCGGAGGAUGCUCUCGGAACUUGGGAGAGGAAGGAGGGAAGAGAAGAGGGGAAAGGGGCCGUCGAUGUUUUUGAUGUCUGUGCUUUAAUGGAGGCCACCAAUAUUGAGAAGACGGGGUUGGCCGAGGCAGCCCGCACGCUGCUGCUUGCGAGCGCUCGAGUCAAAGCUAGGGCCAACCGCGGCUUGUCCGGGUGCCCUAAGGGGGCGGACACUUGGUUUAGCACCGGGACACAGAAUAGCCACCGGGGUAGGAAGAUGCGUUCACUUUGCUUACCUGUUGGCAAGAGGGACAUACAAAAAUAACGUAACGUGACAUCGUUGACAACGGUAGCUCUUUGAUUACACAAAAGCCAAUUUUACCUUCCCGCAAAAGCCAGUUGACGCCUUUGGAACUUUUAUUUGCGGCAUUUUGGCGCCCUCUGGCUGUGUUUGGAUCGCUUUCAUGCUCGCCUGCGUCCCAGCCAAGAAAAAAUCGAUGGAGCUGCAGGUUGUCCUCAGGAUGGUUCUGCCCUCAGGACCUGGGCGUGAAUUCAGGGACAGGGUGGCCCUCCAGAACCGGAGUGACAAACUGUAACCAUACUUAGGGAGGCAGACGUCAAAGGCAAGUACAUCUGUAUUCAACUGGGUAAAGGAAGUCUCUACUGAUUCUAAAUUUCACCUCUGAUCCGAACCCUGGUGGUCUGAUGAUAUUACUUCCUACUUCUGGGACCUCUACCCUACGAAACCCACCUCUCACUGAAACAAGUGGAUAUCUUUGUGGUUGCUGCCACGGGAUUUAAGAGUCCUUUUUUUUUUUUUGAUACGGAGUCUUGCUCUGUCACCCAAGCUGGAGUGCAGUGGUGUGAUCUCAGCUCUCUGCAACCCCCACCUCCUGGGUUCAAGCGAUUCUCCUGCCUCAGCCUCCUGAGUAGCUGGGAUUACAGGCAUUCACCACCAUGCCCAGCUAAUUUCUGUAUUUUCAGUAGAGACGGGGUUUCACUAUGUUGGCCAGGAUGGUCUUGAUCUCCUGACCUUAAGAGAUCCUCCUGCCUCGGCCUCCCAAAGGGCUGAGAUUACAGGCGUGAGCCACCACGCCCAGCCUAAGAGUCCAUUUGAAGCAUUUUUAUUCUAAGAAAAUUUAUUUCCAUAUGUAGUUGGGAUGAAAAGUCUAUGAAAUCCAUUCAAAACAAAGGUGCUUUCAACUAUACUGUUUGAAGUUACAGUUUUGUUUCUUCCCUUAUCCUGUGCUAUCUUAAGCCAUAUGUUGUUGUAAAUUAACAGGAAAGAGGGCAUUUAAAACAAAUGGUUUAUGUGAAUAGCAUUAAUCCCGUCAAGACUAGUUUGUGACAAGGGCUAAAGAUUGCACUCUUGCCUUUUAAGCUCAACCAAGUUAAACAUCUGAACUAUUUCUGCUGUCUUGUAAAUAUUAAGAUGUAACACGUUUCUGAUGUUUGUUGACAUUUGUUGUACUUUUGAUGAACAAUUAGCCUGCAAGAAUAUUAACAGGAAAUUCCAUUCAUGAGAUAAGCAGCUGUUUGUGCAAAGCUUCAGCCAGAUCAUGGGACCAAAAAUCUUCUUUAUGCAACUACUGUUUGUUGAAUAGUCAGCAUUCCUUGCAUGUUCAAAAGGAAAUGCUUUGGAAAUAACUUUUAUGGCUAAUUUUGACUUUUAUAUUUUCGUAAGGAGAAAAUAACUUUCAUGGUUAAUGUUGACUCUUAUACUUGCAGGUAGUAAAAUAAUGUCCUUUAUCACCAUGUAAAUUUCAAACAGUAGUCAUUGACAAAUCCCUAGUAAUUUCCAAAUUGUAAUGCAGA
ensembl:lncRNA BASP1-AS1 BASP1 antisense RNA 1